rnacentral:rRNA from 1 species
UACGGAGGGUGCAAGCGUUAAUCGGAAUUACUGGGCGUAAAGCGUGCGUAGGCGGUUCGUUAAGUCUGUUGUGAAGCCCCGGGCUCAACCUGGGAAUGGCAAUGGAUACUGGCGAGCUAGAGUGUGUCAGAGGAUGGUGGAAGUUCCCGGUGUAGCGGUGGAAAUGCGUAGGAGAAUCGGGGAGGAACAUCAGUGGCGAAGGACG